rnacentral:rRNA from 1 species
UACGAAGGGGACUAGCGUUGUUCGGAAUCACUGGGCGUAAAGCGCACGUAGGCGGAUAUGUCAGUCAGGGGUGAAAAUCCCGGGGGCUCAACCUCGGAACUGCCCUUGAUACAGCAUAUCUUGAGUCCGAUAGAGGUGGGUGGAAUUCCUAGUGUAGAGGUGAAAAUUCGUAGAUAUUAGGAAGAACACCGGUGGCGAAGGCGGCCCACUGGAUCGGUACUGACGCUGAGGUGCGAAAGCGUGGGGAGCAAACAGG